rnacentral:lncRNA from 1 species
ACUUGUGCCCAGAGUUUGAUUUUCCACAGACCAGGUAGAGGCCAAGAGCCUCUCACAGACUCUGCAGCAGGGUUGCUAUGAUUAACUCUUAAGUACUCCACAACUACACGCUUUUGAAACUGGCGUUGGCAUAGCGUUAGUUCUGUGCAGGGCGGACGCAGCAGGACAGAAUCUCCCUGGGCAUCUUUUCGGAGCAUCAAUUUUACUGCAAAAUUUUGAAAAAACAAAUUUAAUUGAUUUCCAAGGUUUGUCAAGGAGGACAGAAACUCAGAGCACCCUGCACUUGGGGAUCGGCACUAGGAGCUGCUCUCUGGAUGGGGAGAUGGGAGCUAGCAGCUCACAAUGGGGUCACAAGACAGGAGUGUUAUUGGGAGAAUCCUGUUUUGUUGACAAAUACUGAGAUCAUCCAACUCACCAGGCAAAGUUGACUUGUGUAAGUGAUCUUCAGAUAUGAAAAGUGUGGAACCCAGCUGCUCCUCCUCAGAUAGGCGACAUGACAAUUGUAGGCCUGGAGGGAGAUGAGUUGACAACAUCCCUUCCCUAUAACCACUUGUUGGAUCUGAUCUCACAUACACAGACUCACUCCAAAGACUGACCUGGGUGUCUGCUUCUCAGCUUCAUUAACAGUGGGUGCUCACAAGUCUAGUGGAGAGAAUGUCUGAGAAGAGGAGGACCUUGACUGCUCCUGAACCGGAGACCUCAGAACCAUGGUGCUCUCCUGUCCAGGCUGAACACUAAUGCUCUUGAGAGUCACAUUGAAGAAAGCCAACAUUUUUAAAUCUAAUGGAUACAUUCAUUUUGUGGUAUGUGAUGUUUAGAAAGAGGGAGCUAAAGUUAGUGGUCAUGAGCUAAAUACCCUGUGAGUAGUAACAGGAUCUUCUACACUGUAGCUGCUUCCAGUGUGAGCCAGACAAAUGUACUGAAUAUAGGCCUCAGAGGUGAUCCCACCACCUUCACAGCAAUGGUCCUUCCCCAGGAGCUUCCCCUGAGAAACGGGCCAUCCAGACCAUACUGCUGCUGAAUAAUGUCUCAUUGGAAAUCUCAACAUUCUUCAUUUAGAACACCACCGCCAAUAUCUACCAUAUGCCGGGAUUAUUGUGCAGGGUAAUUUUUAUUAUUACUUGAAUGUAUAUUUAUAUACUGCAGGAACUAUACAUGUUUAUGGCUAGAAUUACUGUUUUUCCUUAAUAUUAAGAUAGUAUUGGUAGAUUUAAUUAUCUGAAUUUAGUCAUUUGGCUCCAGUCAAAAUGGUUUCUCCUUAGCAGUACUCUGACUUUGUAAAAGUAAUCACAUUUGGAUUCUGUUUCCUCCAGUAGUUUUUAAAAUGAUUUUUUUGAUUAUUCAUAUAACUUUUUUUUAAUGAUCUUUUAAAAACUAGUAUGUGGUUAUAUAUUACUUGUUACACUUUUUGUUUUCUUUAUUUUUUGGUUGGUUACACCUUAAAUGAUUAUUUCUAUUGCCUUUUAAUGUUACUUAGAAAAUAUCACAUGUAAGACUUUUGCUUUUAUAAAGUUAGUAAUACAUUUUCAAGCCUAAACUCUUGAAAUUUUAAUAAUUUCUAUGAUAUUUGAAAAUUAUUUUUAUCUUCUUUUGAGUGCUAAAAGAUAAUAUUUGUCUACCUGAUUAACUAGCACAACUUUUAAAAAGUUAUUUAGCACUCUUUAUAUUCAUUCAUUUGUUU